rnacentral:rRNA from 1 species
AACGAACGCUGGCGGCGUGCUUAACACAUGCAAGUCGAACGCGAAGGGACUUCGGUCCUGAGUAAAGUGGCGCACGGGUGAGUAACGCGUAGAUAACCUGUCUUCAUGUCUGGAAUAAUACGCCGAAAGGGGUACUAAUACCGGAUAUUCUUGCUUUUCAUAAGUUAUGCAAGCAAAGGUGGCCUCUGCAUAUGCUACUGCAUGAAGAGGGGUCUGCGUACCAUUAGCUAGUAGGUGGGGUAAUGGCCUACCUAGGCGACGAUGGUUAGCGGGUCUGAGAGGAUGAUCCGCCACACUGGCACUGGAACACGGGCCAGACUCCUACGGGAGGCAGCAGUGAGGAAUAUUGGACAAUGGAUGGAAAUCUGAUCCAGCCAUGCCGCGUGCAGGAAAGACGGCCCUAUGGGUUGUAAACUGCUUUUGUAUGGGAGCAAUAAGGGCUACGUGUAGUCCGAUGAGAGUACCAUACGAAUAAGCACCGGCUAACUCCGUGCCAGCAGCCGC